rnacentral:misc_RNA from 1 species
GGCGUCGUACAUACGCGGCAAACAACUUCCCUGCAUAAACCCACACGCAGACCGCGAAGUUUCGAAACUCCAUUAGAACUGCAAAAUUCCCUCUUCAACUCUCGCUCGUUUCAGUUGUAAAGGACGAGAUUCCUGGUUUCGGAUUUUAUCUGCUAAAAUGCCGGAAGAUUUUUAUGCGGAGCGCUCAUUGUUUGGAGGUGCGAUUGUUAGCACCUUCCCUCUUAGGUUUCAGGAUGUGAGCAAUGUUCGACAAGUUCCUGAUCAUCAGGAGGUAUUUGUGGAUCCUGCUCGUGAUGAAAGCUUGAUCUUUGAGCUCUUAGAUUUUAAGCGUGAUGUUGGAGAUAAUGGAAGUGCCACCUGGUUUCUUCAAGACCUUGCUACUGAACAAGAUGCUGAAGGGUGCACAGUAAAUACCUUGAUUGAUUCUGAUAAUGUUGUUUCUACCUUGGGCAUGUGGUAGAUUAGUUUUGCUGUCCUAUAUUUACAUUAUUAUCAAAGAACUAAUCAAACUAACGAUGUAGCUGAUUCCUUGAUCUUGCAAAUUAUUGUGUUGCUUCAUGUUAGUCAUUCACCUUGUUUGUGGGGAAUGCAAAGAUUUCCCUUAAAAAUCCUUGUGUUGAGACAGUGUCUAGUAGGUCAAGUUCCCUUUUACUCUAUUGGGGAGUUUGUUUCUAAAUUUAACCUUUUUUUUUUUAAUUCCUGCUACGAUACUUCAGCUGAUUGAGCACUCAGGAGUAGUUGAGGCCCCUGGUUUGCAUUACAGGAAUAUUCCUUCUGUUGUUACCACUGCUGUCAGCCAAAUGGCAAUUUCUAAGGGACGACAAGGAAGAGAAGCACAAAAUGUUGUAAAAAUUUAUUUGGCAAAUUUACGCCUUAAGGGAGCUACUACAGAUGUGCUAAUAACUGCAUAUGAACCGGUCUUAAUAAAUCCUUUGAGUGAAAGUGCAAGCACAGUUGGUGCUGGUUUGGCCGUUCCGGCUGCACAAUCUGGAUUUUUGCCGAUGGCUGAGGUCUUUAAGCUUGCUGUCUCUACCUUCAAAGUUAAUGACUGGAACCUUUUUGGUAGCUCUGCUGUAUAAGAUGUGUUCACCACAUAGUUUUGAUGAAGAAAAAAAAAAGUUUAGAUGAGAAUUCUUGAGUAGUUUUCAUCAUUUUUUCCAAUUUCAGAGCAUUUAGUCUUUUCUUGUUUAGCUGAAUUAUUGUCCGUUUCAUGUGGCAUAAGCAGGUGUUUUGAUUGUUGCAUUCCAUCUGUAGCUAUUUUAAAUGCGUUGUAACCUGUGAUCUUGUAUCAACUGCAAAGUUAUUUACCGGACAAUGUAAUGAAUAUCAUUACUUUGCAUGAAAUUGAACAAUUGAAAUUAGGUC